GCGCUGACAGCCCCCUCUCCCUCUCAGCAUUUCCUCUCUCUCCUCUCUCUCUGCCUCGUUCUCUCUUUCUCUCCCUCCCUCUCUCUCUCUCUCUUUUUGUCUCUCUUUAUGUCUAUGGCAUUGUGUCUGAAUAAUUUUCAGGCCUUUUUUUUUUCCUUCCUUCUCAUAUGCACACGCUAAAAGAACUAGACAAAGAUACAAGGUGUUUGCUGCAGUCCACAUCUCUAGGAGAAAAAAAAAAAAAAAGCUCAUGAUUACAGUGCCACUUUUUUUUUUUCUUUUUCUUUUUCUUUUUUUUUUUUUCCACCUAUGCUCAGUGAUUAAACUUCCCCAGGAUGGGGAAGAAAUAAGAGGUGGAAUUGAAAUAGGGAUGAGGAAAAUACCAUUGCAGCAGCUGCAGUCAGUGGUGUCUGCUGCCAGAUGUGUGAAGGUUCCCGGGGUCCUGGACACUAAAAGGAUGCAUAAAAAUAUUUGGAGACAAAAGCUGCAUCCUCAGUGAUCAUUUUCUGUAUUUAACAUGGCAGCAGGCACCGUGUGGAGAAAUCAACAUGCUGGAUGUUGAACUGGACUUUCCUCCUUUCUAGGAUGAAAGGAUGUGAUCUAUCCCGUGCCAAAAGGGAGCUGAGCACAGAAGCGAUGAAUGCUGCAUAAUUAAGUACAGUAUUUAAUUUGGCUGUUGUGAAGCAAAAGAAUAAGAGCAAUGAACAUAUGGCUGUUACUAUCAGCACUGGUGUAUUUGCAGCGAUGCCUAUCAACAUCCACCAGAGAGCAGGGCAGCUCCAAAACCCACAUCUUUCAUGCUGUGGAAAUUGAUGGAGACAGCAACACAGCCAGCUUCUUGGCCAAACAACAUGGAAUGCAGUUCAUUUCAAAGUGUUUGUGUAUCAGAAAAAGCAAAGGAUGGAAAGAGAAAUGCAGGAGACAUAAGGGGUUUUUCUCAUGUCUUGUCUGUGAAUUUCUGGUUUACAGCCUGUUGUAUAAGCAGCAGUUACCUUUCUCAGCAUCCUCAUUUCAAAUACAAAAAGAAAAAAAAGUUCUGUGGUAUUUAAAGCUUAAGGUCUUUAAACCAUGAUGAGCACUGGUACAGUGUUAAAGAUUCAAAUAUGAUUAAUAUCUUUUCCGAACUUUUUGUUGGCUGGUAAUAAGCUUACAGCAUGUGCUAUAUGAUAAGGCAAGAUGAUACUAAAAUAUUACUUGGAAAAAUAAAUCUAUAAAACUUGAUAAAACUUGUUGCUACCAAAAAUCCUGG
ensembl:lncRNA